rnacentral:rRNA from 1 species
CAAUAGCGUAUAUUAAAGUUGUUGCAGUUAAAAAGCUCGUAGUUGGAUUUCUGGUAGGAGUGACCGUUCCGAACUUGAUUGUUCGUGUAUUGUGUUUUCUCCAGCCAUCCUUGUGGAGAACUUUUCUUGCAUUAAUUUGUAGGGAUUGGGACCCGCAUCGUUUACUGUGAAAAAAUUAGAGUGUUUAAAGCAGGCAAUCGCUUGAAUACAUUAGCAUGGAAUAAUAAGAUAGGACUUUGGUACUAUUUUGUUGGUUUGCAUACCAAAUUAAUGAUCAACAGGAACAGUUUGAGGAUAUUCGUAUGAACAUGUCAGAGGUGAAAUUCUUGGAUUUUGAUCAGACGAACUACUGCGAAAGCAUUCGGCAAGGAUGUUUUCAUUAA